ensembl:lncRNA
AGCACUGGAUGUUUAUCAGCAGGCUAUCAGCUCUGCCUACAAGGGAUGCUGAACAAAUGUUGAAAGUGAAAGUGGUAGUCACUCAGUCAUGUCCAACUCUUUGUGACGCAACAGACUCUAGCCCACCAGGCUCCUCUGUCCAUGGAAUUCUCCAGGAUGAAGACCUAAAGUGGGAAAACUGAAGAUCACAAGCCAAACUAAUGCCACAGUGCAGCACAUCAGGUGUGCAUCACAAUACUGUCCAGACCUUACUGCUCCAACCACAAUUACUGGCCAAUCAAAAGAUCCACCUUCCUACAAGGUGGCAUUCCUUCUGCUGUUUAGGCACCACAUAGCUUACAGAGUGAAGUGGGAAGAGAGCUGAAGGUUAAUGUCUAGUCUUGGAUCUUCCUCCCCAAUACUGAGCAAAUCACCUGACCUCUCUGACCUUCAGUUUACCUCUCUAUAAACUGAGCAAGUUUGAGUUAACUGAUUUCUGAGUCCCUUCCAACCCUAAUGAAUAUUAGACUAUGCUAUAGACUAUUUAGACUAGUUAUCUUAACUUUAAAUUUAAUAGUCAAGUGACAUAUCAAAAGCCUCAUUGUAAAAACCUAUAGUCAAGACAACUGUCCCACUGUACACCUGUCAGAAUGGCAAUUAAUAAAGAUAAGAAAUAAGUAUUGGUGAGGAUGUGGAGAAAAGGGAACUAACUCUCCUGCACUGUUGAGAAAAAUCUGAACUGGUAUAGCCACUAUGGAAGACAGUAUGGAGGGUCCUCAAAACAUUAAAAAACAGAAUUGCCAUCUGACUUCGCAACUUCACUUUGGGGUAUUUAUCCAAAGAAAAUGAAAACACUAAUUUGAAAAGAUAUAUGCACCUUUAUGCUCACUGCAGCAUCAUAUAAAAUAGCCAAGACAUGGAAGCAAGCUAAGUAUCCACUAAGGAAUGAAUGGAUAAAGAAGAUGUGGNNNNNNNNNNNNNNNNNNNNNNCAUGCAUGCACAAUGGAAUACUACUCAGCCAAGAAAAAGAAUGAAAUCUUGCCAUUUGCGGUUACAUGGAUGGCUCUUGAGGGUAUUAAUUUAAGUGAAAUAAAUCAAACAAAAAAAUACUGUAUGAUUUCACUUUUAUGUUGGGUCUAAAAAGCAAAACAAAUGAAGACACAAACAACAUAACCAGACCCAUAGAUAGAGAGAUCAGAUUGGUGUCUACCGGAGGAAAAGGGGGUUGGAGGGUGGAUGUAAUGGGUGUAGGCAGCAGGUGUUAAACAUAGUCCCACAACUGCCCUGGUACCCACAGUGCUAUAACCAUAGUCAGCUGGCCCCACCAUCUCUACUCAUUUUUGUGAAGCUAGGUUGGAUGCUGUGAGAGAGGUGGUACUUUGCCCUACUCUGCCAUUCAUGUGUGAGACCUGGUAUUUAAGUAGAGGGACAUAGAACACAAUUUAUGGUUACCAAAGAGGAAAGGAAGAGGAGGGAUAAAUUAGUGGUUUGGGAUUAAAAUAUAUACACUACUACACAUAAAGCAGAUAACCAACAAGGACCUAUUAUAUAGCAUAGGGAACUAUACUCAAUAUCUUGUAAUAACCUAUAAUGAAAAAGAAUGUAAAAAAAUAUAUAUGCAUGUAAAAAGUGGACUUUCAGCUGUUAAAGAAUCUGCUUGCAAUGCUGGAGACCCUGGUUCAAUUCCUGGGUAGGGAAGAUCCCCUGGAGAAGGGAU